UCAACAAAUUCUAACCAAUCAGAGCCCUUUAUGAACUAGCCCCGUUGUAAAUUAAGGGAAGAGGAUACUGCUGCAAUCUGCACGAUCCAUACCAUCUGAACGACAGUUCUCCCUUCGAAUUAAAGUAUGUAGAUAGAAAAUUACAUUUGAUUUCGUUUUAGAAACGAUAGCGCUUUAACGACAGACCCUCGUUCACCAAUGUCAACCACGCUAACGCUAACUGCUGACCACCGAGAGCUAUCUGUCUAAUACUCCUAAUGCAAAAGUGUAGAUAGCAGCUGAUAUCCUUUAUGCUACGAGUGACACUGUUAUCUACGAUACGUGCCUGGUAUGACAUAACCGCCGCGUUAAUUGCUUUAAUUGGCACUGCUUGCUUAGAACACAACGGAGUGUGUUACUCUGUGAAGGAUCCAGUUGAAGUGUGUUAUUAAAGUGGCGACGUGUGGGGAGAGUGUUUAGCAAUGGUGCAGGACGAGGGCGCGUCAUCACAGAAUAUAAACAUGCAGGUCCAUACAGCGUUGACUUUUAAAAUGGUCUGAAAAGUCUCGGUCACCUGUUGGUGUUUCCCAGCCUCCAGAGAUGAUGGAGGAUUCUCCCUGCUUAUACAUCUCGGUGUAUGAAGAUGAUGUAGUAUAUGAAGAGGAGGAGGAGGAGGAGGAGGAAGAGGAAGGAGAGGGUGACAUGGAAGGCAGUGAUCAAGAAGAAGUUACGGUGGAGACGGACAUGAGGCAGCCAUCCUCCCCUGAACUCUGUGAGAAUCAGGAUUCUAACUCUGACUGGGAUUCGUUUCCCUGUCCGCAUUGUGAGAACUGUUUCAACAGCCAACAGGGCCUGGAGUGCCACAUCCGGAACCACACCCUGCCAUGUCAUGACCCAGACACAGACGAAUACGCUAACAGCAACAGCCCACUGGCUGCAGACAUACAUCCCCAGGAACCAGACACUCAUCUGUCGGGAGUGGACUCGCUCCCAAGUUUGUCCAAACAAAACAAUGGCAGGCAUGAGCCUCCGACGAGGCGAGGGGACGAUCAGGAAACUGAAGGGGCUCACGGGUGCGACCAUUGCGAGAAGGUCUUCAACACUCGCAUCAACAAGCGGAGGCACGAGCAACGGUUUCACAGACGGCGACCGCCGGUCGAGCAGGCUGACCAGACUCCUCUUCUCCAGCAAGAAGCUCCGGACGGCGGUGCCGCCCCCGAUGACGGGCCGGAACCCGCCCAACAUCACGUGCUGGACAUCUCCGGCGACGUCUCUGAGAACCUUAGCCUGUACGGCGACGGAAAGGUUGCGUCGACGAGCGCGAUGAGCGAUGGCGGGGGGGUCGAGGUGGCCGCCAGCUCGUCUGCGGUAGGCGGCACGGGGUCCCUUCUGCUGGACCCGGCGCAGACCAAUCAGGCGCUGAGUUCGGAGGUCGCGACGGGCCAAGACACGGCGGGUCCUUCGCUGGCGAAGAGGAGAACCGCGACGCCGCCUCUUCUACCUCAAAUCAAAACUGAGCUGGGGACGGAGGUCGUCGGGACCUCGUCCUCGUCGUCGCUCGUCUCCUCUUUGAUAGAGAACCUCCUGCCUCAGAGGUUGCCCUCGUCGGCGGCCCACCGAGAGAGAACCAUAUUCCUGUCGCCCAAGUUGAAACGGCUCCUCGACGAGCAGGACGGCCUCAAGCCCACCCUCGCCCUCAUCACGGAUGGCCAGAAGUUCAGCGCGCCCCUCUCGGUGUCCGUCGUGCCCGCGGGGAGCAUGAGGUACAGAAGAAGGACUGUUUCACCGGCCAAGCCGCCAGAGCCCAGAGCAUCAUCAUCCAAAGUGGAAGAGAAGGUUCCUGAGGCAGGAGAUGACGUCUCGACGGACACCGCCCCUACAGAGGUCUCUGCGACACACGCGCUCGAAGGGAAGGACGACGCAACGGCUCCGGCCGUGGAGGAGAUGGAAGCGAGCUGUGUGGCCGAAGAGCGCUGGCCCCCACGAAGUGGUGGUAAUCCCUGUAAUCAACUGCCACUGGAUCUCUCGAACGCGGUUAAAAGAGGCGAGGAGGAGGCUCUUGCGGAGGCUGCGCUGGACUUGAGCUUGCAAAAACAAAGCCCAGACGCCCUGCACCCUGUGUCCAUUUCCGUACCGCCUUUGAAGAAAAAGAAGCCAAACUCUAGCCUGUUGGAGCAGGCCAUGUUGAAUCAGUAUGCAAAAGCCGCCGACCCGGGAGAACAAAACAUAACUCUAGGGAACCCAGAGGCACCUUUAGUCUCGAACUUUACCAUAGUUACAGGGUCAAGACCCGGUGAGCCUUCAUCAGAAAGCCUUGUGUAUGGCCUCACCUUGCCCCCUGUAUCACUUGACCCAUCACACACCUCUCUGCUUCCUGUGGCCUUGCAGCAGCCCUCCGCCUGCACCAUAGCGCUCUCUUCUUCAGCAGUUCACACUAUGUUACCGACCGCUUCCAACCUAAUCACAGUGUUGGCGUCCAUCGCUAAUCCCUCGAACCAAGCACUCCAGGUUGUGGCGCCAAACAUGGCCUCUGAACCGUUGGUAAUCUGCAGGGAGGAUUCAUUGAAUCUGCCCGGCUGUGAUUUCAACUCUGCGUUUGCCAAUGCGGCAGGUCUCCUUACUCUCUCCCAGCCCUUUGAUCCGGCUCUGAAUAUGCCCGCACAUGUGUUUCUCACCGAUCCGAUCGCUCUCAACGCGCCUGUGGUCGAUUCGGUUGGCGGGUCGGGGGUGGCGUUCUCCCCCGCUGUCACCUUAACGGAUUCCCUGCUUAGCUCUUACAACAUCCCCAGCAACACCGUGCUGAUAGAAUGCACCAUAGCCCUCCAGUCCUCAGGGAAUAUGGUCCCGGCCACAAUGAAUCUACAGGAAACUAUGGCGGAGGCUCCAGCUGCCCCUCAGAUGAUAACAAAUCAGAUGAUGGAGCAGCAGCAGCAGCAGCAGCAGCAGCAGGUUGUGUCCCUCCCUAGCCCCCAAACUGUCGACCUGGCUACUGUAGCACCGCCCUUAACGGAGUCCGUCACAGUGUCUGAGACCUCCCCGGUGGCACCUGUUAGUCCCACGUUAGGUGGUUCGUAUCCCGAGCCCGGGCCAGCUCCAUCGGAGGACGAGGAACGAGACCUGAAAGAGGGGGCAUACGUCGAGCAAGCCGCCCUCACCGUUGAAACUCCACACGCCAAGACCCCGCCUCCCCCGGUCGAGGAUGAAGAGCCCUCAGACGACCCGCCCAGCGGAACGCCUCCGCCGCCGCAGACCUUCACCAAGAACUUUGUGUGCAACGUCUGCGAUAAGCUCUUCCAUUCGAUGAAGGAGCUGGGCCACCAUGUGGGCGACCACGCCGAAGAGUGGCCGUACAAAUGUGAGUUCUGCGUGCUGCUCUUCGACAAGCCCUCGGCCCUGCUGGAGCACCGGCUGGCUCUCCACGGCGUGGGCACCACGUACGUCUGCAGCGUCUGCUCCAAGGAGUUUGUGUACCUGAGCAACCUGAAGCACCACCAGGAGGAGUUGCACCCGGGUCGGCAGUGCUCCCACACCCAGGAGGAGAAGGGCAAGCUGAGGCCGCAGAACCGCAACUGCUCGACGAAGGUCGACGCCGUCACAUCGCCGGCCGCCACCGCAGAAGAGUCGAAGAAAUCGGUGAAGAGAGAAGAGGGUGAAGCCGGCGCUGUGGGACCGCCGGUUCAGAUCACCGCCUCUGACGACGGAGACGACAACGACAGCGAAGUCAAAGGGCCAGACGUGCGUCUCGGCAUCAACCAGCACUACCCCAGCUUCAAGCCCCCACCCUUCCCUUACCAUAACCGAUCGCCGGCCGGAUCCAUGGCCUCCGCCACCAACUUCACCACCCACAACAUCCCGCAGUCGUUCAGCACCGCCAUCCGCUGCACCAAGUGCGGCAAGAGCUUCGACAACCUGCCCGAGCUGCACAAGCACAUCCUGGCCUGCGCCAACGCCAGCGACAAGAAGCGCUACACGCCGAAAAAGAACCCCAUCCCCCUUCGGCACUUUGCCAAGGCCCAAAGCGGUGUGCUGUCCACCACCAACGCCACCAACGGGCUCAACGCGAGCCACAGGCCCAACCACCGCUCGAGGCAGAGCCAAGACCUUCCGGUGAAAAUGAAGCUGACGGCGCUCGACAAAAGGAAGAAGAGGUCGGCGCACAGGGCCGUCUCGCAGAGGAACAAACCCCCCCCCGCCUCGGACAAGGCCCCGCCGCCGCCGCCGCCGCCGGCGGGCGCGGACGACGCGGAGAAGGAUGUCUUCGCCUGCCCGCACUGCAGCAGGGAGUUCACCAUGAGGCGCAGCAGGACCAAGCACAUGGCCGUCUGCCCCAAGAAACCCAAGGAGGUGAAGAAGCGCAAGGACGCCGCGGUGUCGCUCACCAAGGAGAACAACGGCCAGCUGCUCAGAGGAGGAGGCGCCGCCGACCCCCUGGAGGAGAGGCGCCAGCCUCCGCCCGCCGCCCAGAAGGUCCCGGGGGGGCGGGUCUACGUCUCGACCCCCGCCGCCAAGAGGCCGGCCAUCCUGCCGGUGCAGGCGGUGCUGUCCCACAAGCGGAGCACGAUCAUUAUCAAGGAGAGCGUCCAGCAUCAGAAUCAGGACGAGUCGGCGCUGAGCGACCUCCCCGUCGUACGCACCUUCAACCCCGCCAUGAGGCAGUACGGCAGGGCGCAGCCGGGGGCCAAGGACGGCGUCAAGACCCCCCUCAAGAUCACUCUGGUGAGGCCGCAGGGGGAGCCAGAGGAGCCCUCGGCCGUCCCCGGCCAAGGAGGAGCACAGACUGCUGCUGCUUCUUCAAACCAUGAAUUGGGGACUGACCAGCAGAGCCCCGCUGUGUGAACCCCUCCCAUUCAUCUUCUCCGUCGGAAAGGCAGGGAGUACCGCCGAGAGAGCAGAUGUGGCCUGUGGAGCAACAGAACACGUCCUACUGUACACAGUAAUGUUCUUGAGACUGUCCCCACUGGAAUGGGUGGCUGCAGGAGCCAGUGGAACCGAACAAUGGAGAUGAGCGAGCCCUUUGCAUUGGUCUGUUUUGGUUCUGGAUUUCUUUCGUCGUCUACCGGUUUGUAGACGAUCAAAUCAUUUCAUUGACUCUUUGCCCCCCGCUUAUGUUCUGAUGUGCACUUUGAGACCUGGAUCAGUGACUGCAAUGCGGAGUGUAAAAAAGCUAGGAGAGCAGACCUCACCUUAACAUUUUACCAGUGGAUAUGGAAUAGAUUAUAUUGAACAUACUACUGGAAUCAUAUGUAUUAAUGUGACACAGUUGCACCUUCAUUUCUUUAAAUGUGGCCUUCUCUUUAGGUUUUCAAUGCCCGCUGCAUGCCGCAAGGUCACUGAACAGAUUUUAGUGAUGUUAUGGUGGUUUCUAUGAAUGCCAUCAGACUCAAAAGGAUAAUGAAGAGAAAUUCAGGGCAAUUUGACCUGCAAGCACGUGUAAAAUAUAUACUUGCUGUCCAAUUAAUUUAUGUUUUUAUUUUAUUUUUUUCAUCAUUGUACAAUCAAGGUUACUUUGAUUUGCUUGUGUGUGUGGGUGAGUGUGCAGAAAUAUGAUCUGUAAGAAAUCAUGUUUUUCUUAUGAGAGAUAUUUUGAUCGAGUGCAAUGCUCCGGAGUUACCAUCAUCAAUGUUUGUCAAUAUACAGAGUUGUCUGGAAUAAGAUGAAGUCUAUAUUUGCUUUGCAGUUGUGAGCUUAUUAUUGAAGGUUUUAAUACUGUGCUUGACUGUGAGAGCCUGAACUCGGAGCUGUGGCUGGGUUGGUCUGCUUGUGAAUGCCGCGAGUCAGCUGGUGAGAACAUACUGCUGUAUACGAACAGCAGCCUCAUUUGAAGUCUUACUUUUGCACAUUUGAAACGGAUUGGAAUGAAAAUGGGUAUUUCAAUGGUCUGUUUCUUGGGCGAGGGUGUUUGUUUUCUCUGUAAAAUUCAUUGUGGCUUUCAUAGUCUGUAAAAAGUGAGAUUUUUUGGUUUGUCAGGGUGCAUAUGAUGCUUUGACGUUGAGAUGCAGUGUAUGUGUCGUAUGUGAUCCACACGUAACUGGCUGGAAUGGUCACUAUACAGGGUAGACUUAAUUUGGUUCAUUAAUUUAUAAGUGCUCUGUAUUUAAUUGAUAUUUUCAGAUAUUGCUGGUAAUAAGUUCAGAAAAAAAUUCCUCUAUGAUGUACAGGCUGGAUUAGAAUGUUAUUUUACUGUGAAAAGUGCUUUUAUCAUUUAAAUGUGUACAAUUAAUUAUGCAUAUUUAUUAAUUAUUUAAAUUUAUGUUGGCCUGAUUCCUCUAUGAUUUGCACUAAUGUUUCCAUAAGUGUUCAAAAUUAAAAGGAGAAUGUUUACGUUGUUAUCCUUUUUUUUUCUACAGAAAUGGACGGCAUAUUAUCAGUUAAAUAAAACUAGCAAUAAUAUUGAACUAUUUGACUAACUAUUUGAUUCAGACUAAAUGUAUAUGAAAAAGGAGAAAACCUUUCUAGCUCCUCUUCGUCCAAUACUUUCAGGGUGCAGGGUGAAACCUUUUCCAGUUGGCGGCGCACUUUUCCAACUCCUAAAUAUAUGCCUGCGAUCCAACGAGGUGGCACGGCACCACGCAAGACACAGCAGCUCUCAGCAGCACUAAUGAACCAGUGGAUCGGGGCGAGACUACGCAGAUCCAGCCCAGCAGCCCGAGAGCAGCGGCUCACCAUCCAUCAGGGGGACCCCCCACCAGGGCACUGAUCUGCAGCCAGCAGGGGGGGGAUUCCGACCCCCACAGCCCACUCCAACGCCCGACCCCCAAACCCAACACAUCUGAGGCGGAGGACCCCCCACACCGCUGCGUGUGCGAAACCCCAAAGUCGCCAUCGAGGGACGGACCCCUCGCUGUAUCAGCGGCGAGGAAAUCAGAGGAGAAGGGGAGCGUCGGUCAACGCCCAGCCCCCUGCUCUCAGGGCUGACCCGCGGCACUCGCUCCCUGGGUCCACAGUGAGGAAGCCGUGCCCUCUCCCCGAACCACUGUCACUCGUCUCGUGGAGGAGCGCCCAGCCAUGGAGGAGAUGCUCACCUGCAACAGAAACCCUUUCUCCCAGGUGUUUGGGCGCCAGGGACAGCUCAUGCAAGCCACCGUGCAGUCCCUCAACAGCCUGAACGACCAGAUCGCCAGCUUUAUGGUGAGCGGCCCCAAGGCCCUGGAGCAGGAGGAG